AUUGAACGCUGGCGGCAGGCUUAACACAUGCAAGUCGAGCGGGGGAAGGUAGCUUGCUACCGGACCUAGCGGCGGACGGGUGAGUAAUGAUUAGGAAUCUGCCUAUUAGUGGGGGACAACAUCGCGAAAGGGAUGCUAAUACCGCAUAAGUCCUACGGGAGAAAGCAGGGGAUCUUCGGACCUUGCGCUAAUAGAUGAGCCUAAGUCGGAUUAGCUAGUUGGUGGGGUAAAGGCCUACCAAGGCGACGAUCUGUAGCGGGUCGGAGCGGAUGAUCCGCCACACGGGUGCUGAGACACGUCCCAGACUCCGACGGGAGGCAGCAGUGGGGAAUAUUGGACAAUGGUGGGAACCCUGAUCCAGCCAUGCCGCGUGUGUGAAGAAGGCCUUAUGGUUGUAAAGAACUUUAAGCGAGGAGGAGGCUACUCUAGUUAAUACCUAGAGAUAGUGGACGUUACUCGCAGAAUAAGCACCGGCUAACUCUGUGCCAGCCGCCGCCGUAA
rnacentral:rRNA from 1 species